GAUGAACGCUGGCGGCGUGCCUAAUACAUGCAAGUCGAGCGAACGGACGAGAAGCUUGCUUUUCUGAUGUUAGCGACGGACGGGUGAGUAACACGUGGAUAACCUACCUAUAAGACUGGGAUAACUUCGGGAAACCGGAGCUAAUACCGGAUAAUAUUUUGAACCGCAUGGUUCAAAAGUGAAAGACGGUCUAGCUGUCACUUAUAGAUGGAUCCGCGCUGCAUUAGCUAGUUGGUAAGGUAACGGCUUACCAAGGCAACGAUGCAUAGCCGACCUGAGAGGGGGAUCGGCCACACUGGAACUGAGACACGGUCCAGACUCCUACGGGAAGCAGCAGUAGGGAAUCUUCCGCAAUGGGCGAAAGCCUGACGGAGCAACGCCGCGUGAGUGAUGAAGGUCUUCGGAUCGUAAAACUCUGUUAUUAGGGAAGAACAUAUGUGUAAGUAACUGUGCACAUCUUGACGGUACCUAAUCAGAAAGCCACGGCUAACUACGUG
rnacentral:rRNA from 1 species